rnacentral:misc_RNA from 1 species
CUGUUCGAGCGUCAUAUAAACCCCUCAAGCUCAGCUUGGUGUUGGGGCCUGCCGCCUGGCAGCCCUUAAAAUCAGUGGCGGUGCAUCUGGCUCUAAGCGUAGUAAUUCUUCUCGCUAUGGAGUCCCGGUGAAUGCUUGCCAUCAACCCCCAAUUUUCUAUGGUUGACCUCGGAUCAGGUAGGGAUACCCGCUGAACUUAA